rnacentral:rRNA from 1 species
AGCGAACGUUAGCGGCAGGCCUAACACAUGCAAGUCGCACGAGAAUCCGGCUUCGGUCGGUAGUAAAGUGGCGGACGGGUGAGUAACACGUGGAUAAUCUGCCCCUCGGCGGGGGACAACAGUCCGAAAGGAUUGCUAAUACCGCAUACGUCAGCGAGGUCUUCGGACCUUGUUGGGAAAGAUGGCCUCCUCAUGAAAGCUAUCACCGAAGGAUGAGUCCGCGGCCCAUCAGCUAGUUGGCGGGGUAAUGGCCCACCAAGGCUUAGACGGGUAGCUGGUCUGAGAGGAUGAUCAGCCACACUGGAACUGAGACACGGUCCAGACUCCUACGGGAGGCAGCAGUGGGGAAUAUUGGGCAAUGGGCGCAAGCCUGACCCAGCCAUGCCGCGUGAGUGAUGAAGGCC